CCCUUCGGGUGACGUUAACGGCGUCGAGCGGCGGACGGGUGAGUAAUGCCUGGGAAAUUGCCCUGAUGUGGGGGAUAACCAUUGGAAACGAUGGCUAAUACCGCAUAAUAGCUACGGCUCAAAGAGGGGGACCUUCGGGCCUCUCGCGUCAGGAUAUGCCCAGGUGGGAUUAGCUAGUUGGUGAGGUAAGGGCUCACCAAGGCGACGAUCCCUAGCUGGUCUGAGAGGAUGAUCAGCCACACUGGAACUGAGACACGGUCCAGACUCCUACGGGAGGCAGCAGUGGGGAAUAUUGCACAAUGGGCGCAAGCCUGAUGCAGCCAUGCCGCGUGUAUGAAGAAGGCCUUCGGGUUGUAAAGUACUUUCAGCAGUGAGGAAGGCGGAGUCGUUAAUAGCGGCCUUGUUUGACGUUAGCUGCAGAAGAAGCACCGGCUAACUCCGUGCCAGCAGCCGCGGUAAUACGGAGGGUGCGAGCGUUAAUCGGAAUUACUGGGCGUAAAGCGCAUGCAGGUGGAUGAUUAAGUCAGAUGUGAAAGCCCGGGGCUCAACCUCGGAAUAGCAUUUGAAACUGGUCAUCUAGAGUACUGUAGAGGGGGGUAGAAUUUCAGGUGUAGCGGUGAAAUGCGUAGAGAUCUGAAGGAAUACCGGUGGCGAAGGCGGCCCCCUGACAGAUACUGACACUCAGAUGCGAAAGCGUGGGGAGCAAACAGGAUUAGAUACCCUGGUAGUCCACGCCGUAAACGAUGUCUACUUGGAGGUUGUGGCCUUGAGCCGUGGCUUUCGGAGCUAACGCGUUAAGUAGACCGCCUGGGGAGUACGGUCGCAAGAUUAAAACUCAAAUGAAUUGACGGGGGCCCGCACAAGCGGUGGAGCAUGUGGUUUAAUUCGAUGCAACGCGAAGAACCUUACCUACUCUUGACAUCCUCAGAAGAGACUGGAGACAGUCUUGUGCCUUCGGGAACUGAGAGACAGGUGCUGCAUGGCUGUCGUCAGCUCGUGUUGUGAAAUGUUGGGUUAAGUCCCGCAACGAGCGCAACCCUUAUCCUUGUUUGCCAGCACUUCGGGUGGGAACUCCAGGGAGACUGCCGGUGAUAAACCGGAGGAAGGUGGGGACGACGUCAAGUCAUCAUGGCCCUUACGAGUAGGGCUACACACGUGCUACAAUGGCGCAUACAGAGGGCAGCCAACUUGCGAAAGUGAGCGAAUCCCAAAAAGUGCGUCGUAGUCCGGAUUGGAGUCUGCAACUCGACUCCAUGAAGUCGGAAUCGCUAGUAAUCGUGGAUCAGAAUGCCACGGUGAAUACGUUCCCGGGCCUUGUACACACCGCCCGUCACACCAUGGGAGUGGGCUGCAAAAGAAGUGGGUAGUUA
rnacentral:rRNA from 1 species